rnacentral:lncRNA from 1 species
AUGCUUGGCGGUGCUUAUAUCAUAACUGUGAAGGUUGACCUCUCUCUGACAGGAGGCUUGGUGACAGGAAGAGAGCAGUCCUGCAAGCUGCAGCGGUACCUUGAGGUCAGCAUUAAAGUGCUCCAGGAAAGUGGACGUCUGCCAAGGAACUAUACUUGGCCCUGCCUCCCUCUUCAGGAAAUAUUGACUCAUCUGUCAGAUAUGUCCUCAACCGUGAGUCUGACGAUGAAGAGCUACACUCCACAGAUCCUGAGGGUAAGGACAAGAGCAAAGACAAGAAGAUACUGUGCAAAGUCAAAUGGUCUUGUGACGAGGAUGAGAGGCUGA